rnacentral:lncRNA from 1 species
UCGGGUUGGAAUUCACCUGGGUUGGCCCACAUGCGUGGGUCCCGCUGUAGUUUCCAAAUGUUGACUAGUACACGAGUGCCCUUGGGCACGUGGUAGCCUGCCAGGUGGCAAUCCUCUGUUGCCUCACGCAGGCCUGUGAGUGGGCCAGGUGGGUAUACGCGUAGGGUUUCUUUGAGAAUGGCUUGGAGGUAUUUGAGGUUAGGGAGGUCUGAUUCUUGUACCCAUCUGUCUCUUCCUACUUGUAUGUCCAGUUCUUGUUGGGCAGCUUUUAGGGUUUUCGGGUUGUUCAGUAGUAGGGAGAGUGCCCAUGUUAGAGUGACGGAUGUGCUUUCUGUGCCAGUUAGGAUUAGAACCUGCCAAAAGCAAUUAAGGAAAACAAUUAAUAUUUGUAUAAUAAUUAAUAUUGUUGCUGAAUAGCUUUAUAUUGUUACACUAAAUUAACCUUACCAGUGCUGUUGAUUUGAUGACAUUAUCAAGGCUAUGGCCAGAAAUCACAUCGUCCUCCUCUUGCAAGCUGGAGAUCAUCACAUCCAUCAAGUCACUUUCAACCCUAUCUAUCUUGCCUUGAGGCCUUGAUCUCUGGCGAUGUUCUUCAAGCCAUUUCCCAAGCACACAGUCAAGUUCCUUGAAACACCUUUUCAUGGAACCCACAUGCCCAAACAAGCUGUCCAGCCACUCAAGCCACGGCAUAGCAUCUGACCAAACAAAAACGCCAAACAGAUACAAAGCCUCCUUCACAGCCUUUUCAAAACGCCAAGCCUCACUGUUUUUCUCAUUAUAUUGCUCAGCUGUGAAUCUCUUCCCAGCAAUCAGCCUCACGUUUAUGUUGAACGUUAAGAACUCAAUUAACUCACUUAAAUGCACUGGCGUGGGGCUCGCGCCAUUCUUCGUGCAAAGUGAGAGCAGAUUUUUGAUGAACAAGUCAACCUUCGAGGUCCUAACGUGGCUUAGCAUUUCGACUCUUUUGGUCGAGAGGAGCUCCAGCGUGGCCAGCUUGCGGACGUGGCGCCAGUAGGGCCCGUAGGGGGCUAGGGCAAAAAGUGCAUUGUCGUAGCCCAAGUGCUUGCCUCCUGCAAUGCUUGCUCGUGUGGCAAAAACUCUAUCGUUUGUUGUGAGACAUUCUUUGACUGUCUCCCAGGCGCUGAGGACCAGCACUUGGUGUUGGCCAAGCUUGAGGGAGAAGAUUGGUCCAUGGUCAUCUGCCAUGGCUCCCAAGGUUAUGGCAACUGGGUCUUUGCUACGUAACAGAGGGAGGUGGCCUAUGAAGGGCCAUGCUCCAGAGGGUUGGGGGACUAAUUUGGUCGUCACAGUCGUCUUUGUGCUGGUGAUCUUCUUCUUAGUGUGAGCUGUGAUUCUCAAGGCAGCAUAUAGAAUAAGCAAAGAUAAAAUUGUUUCAAGAAUUUGGAUUGGGGAAAUUGUAAAAUCCAUGGUGUUGGGGAGAGAGAGAGAGAGAGAGAGAGAGUGUUACAGAUGGGAAUAUGAUUGCGUGUAGGAUAUAGUUCAUUUUGCAAGUGUAUUUAUAGACACAGAUACGUCUCUUUCAAAAACAAAUAAACAAACGCAUUGAGAUACACAAUGGAUGCUCACCACAUCUCAAAUAUAUAGGAUAAUUAGAUAUUUAAUUUUUUUUCUCUUUCCAACAUCUCUGGUUUUCAUUCACUAGAGUGUCGGUUGGAGUUCGAUACUUAAAAAAUAUAUAUAUAUAUAUAUAUAUACUCUACUUAUAAGACAGUAAUGUUUACAAUUUUGAUGCAACAGUGCCGCUGCUAUAAAUCAUAGGACAAACUUACUUGGGCCCAUACCUUCAUAUCUAUGUCUACCAAAUUAAAUGAUUACCCGCUUGCAAACUUUUUCAAACAAAUAAAGUAAAAAUUGAAGGUGAUUCUAAGAGCAUCUCCACCUCAAAAGGCUAAGGUAAGGAUAAGAGCAAAGCAAGGGCAAUAGUGGCAGCUUUGUAAUUUGUGGUUCCACCUCAAAGGGCUAAGGCUAAGGCAAUUACUAUUCAUUGUACUUUAUUUUCUAUUUUUUUAUACUUUCAACUAUUAAUUUUGAUAAUUUUUUGUAAUUAAAUUUCCGGAUAAGAUUUUUAGUUGCCACGUGUCCAUCAUUUUUCAGAAAAGAUUUUCGAAUGAGACUCUCAGUUGCCACGUGUCUUAUUCCAAACAAACUUUUUGGAUAUUCAUUAAAAAAAAAUUAUAAUCUCAGAUUUCAAAUAAGAUUUUCACCCUCUAAAAUUGUGCCACGUGUCCCAUGUCAAAUAAGAUUUUCAGAUAUUUUAAAAAAAAAUUAUAAUCUAAUAUUUUAGAUAAGAUUUUCACCCUCUAAAAUUGUGUCACGUGUCCCAUGUCAGAUAAGAUUUUCAGAUAUUUUAAAAAAAUUAUAAUCUCAUAUUUCAGAUCAGAUUUUCACCCUCUAAAAUUGUGCCACGUGUCAUCUCUAUCUUCUGAAUCCCUCUAUAAAACUACACCAUUAACUUAUACCUCUCACACCAUUUCUUAUCUAUUCAUUCAUUUCUCAGAUUUUACAAAACACAUUCUACUCUUAAUGUCAAACUUGAGGAGGUUGUUGGAGAGGCAACAGAAAGAAGAGGAACAAAUCUGGCGUAGAUGUGCUGAUAAAGAUGAGGAGGCCGAUAAAGAAGAGGAAGACAUGCUUGCAGCAGCGGUGUGUAUGCUUAAUCAAUCAAGGCAACACCGCCGUAGUCGUGCCCCAAAUGUGGACAGACGUAGGGAGUCUCGAGGUAAAAAUCUCUUGGAAGAUUACUUUAUCCCAAAUUCGUUAUAUCAUGUUCAUAAGUUUCGAGAGAGAUAUAAAAUGCAGCCACAUUUGUUCCGAAAAAUCAUGCAUGAUAUUUGUAAUUACGACACAUACUUCAUUCAAAAAUAUGAUACUGUUGGAGUUUUCGGUAUUCUCCCGGAGCAAAAACUUACAGCUACUUUGCAGAUGCUUGCUUAUGGGGCAUCUGCAAAGCAGGUGGAUGAGAUUGCAAGGAUGGGAAAAUCAACUAUCCUAGAGUGCUUGGUGAGAUUCUAUGAUGCAGUGGAAAAUUUGUACACAAGGGAGUACCUUCACAAACCCACGCCAAGGGACCUGCAAAGGCUUCUACAAAAAGCUGAGGCUCGAGGUUUCCCAAGAAUGAUUGGAAGCAUCGAUUGCAUGCACUGGCAGUGGAAGAAUUGUCCUACUACUUGGCAAGGAGACUAUGGGAAUCGGAAGGGCAAAAAAAGUAUAAUUUUGGAGGCCGUAGCUUUAUUCGACUGUUGGGUUUGGCAUGCCUUCUUCGGAAUUGCCGGAUCUUAGAAUGACCUCAAUAUCCUUGGUCAAUCCCCGGUACUCGACGAGGUAUUGUGAGGUCAUGACCCCCAGAUCACCUACCAAGUCAACAAUACCGUAUACUCUGGUACGUACUACUUUGCCGACGGAAUUUAUCCUAGGUGGACAACAUUUGUGAAAACAAUUCCAAAUCCCCAAUCCGAGAAAGAAAAAAGCUUUGCUGCCUUUCAAGAAGGUUACAUGAAAGACGUGGAAAGGUGUUUCGGUAUAUUGCAAGCUCGUUAGGCAAUUAUUAGGGGUGCUGCUUGGAUGCUAGAUGAGGAGGUGCUGCAGAGCAUUAUGCUGACUUGCAUCAUCCUCCACAACAUGAUUGUGGAGGAUGAGUUUGAUUAUGAUGCUUCAGAUGUGUUUGAACCCGAUCCCAUGAACACGGCGUUGACAAGAAUGUAUGAAAGGCCAAUGAGACCAAAUGGACAACCAAUGGAGCCCAAACCGUUACUUCGGGAUGGUCGAUACAACAACCCAAUGAUUGAUUGUUAUCAAGAAAUGCAAUCUUAUAUGUUCACGAGAGACAUCAACUUGACUUGAUCGAGCACUUGUGGGAGAUGAAAGGCAAUCACAGUGGAUGAAGUCAAGAUACAAGCUUUGUUUGGAAUUAUGCUUUAUUUUGUGUGUGGUGUUUUUUGGAAUUAUGCUUUUUUUAUUAUUAUUAUGCUUUUAAGUAUGGUUUGUUUUGUGUGUUGUUUGCAAUAAAUUAAGGUUUGUUUUUAAUUAAUCUUUGUUUUGAUGCUCAAAUGUUUUUAAUAAAUUGUCAUAUUAUUUAAUGCUUUCUUUAUUGAAUAAAAAGGAAACAAUACAACAAAUUAAUACAUAUGGCAAAGGUGUUUCAAUACAACUUAAUGGUUUUCAUCAUUUAACCAAUCCGUAUUGCUAGGUCCAUCGUCAUGGAAAAGUUUUCUUCUCAUCACAUCCCUUCGUCUUAGCUUCCAAUAGGCCUUUGUUUCAGAAGACAUAUGGCUUGUAUCCAUGGCCAUGAUUUUCAUCUCUCUAUCAUCCAUGUCUUUUUCUUUUGCCUGCUGCUGUUGAAUGCAAAUGCUUCCUGUCGUGCCUUGUUCGCUUCAUCUCUUUUUAAGUCUCUCUCAAUUCUUAGUGCAGUGUUCUUAGCUAUUUGCUCCAAUAAUUGUACACAUUCAUUGUUCGAAGUGCUCCCUCUCUUGGCCUUCGCCGCCUUUCUCCCAAUAGGUCUCGACGGAUGUGGAAGUGGUGACUCCGUUUCCAUUGGGAGUCCAAUGGCGAAUCGGUUGUUGACGAAUCGUGGAGCGGCGUCUCAUUUAAUACAACCGGUAGACCUGUGGGAAUAAUGUUGAAUCUCGAAAAAUCCUUCACAACUUCCCAACAUUGGAAAUGCAAGAAACUUUUUUUUCUUUGCCCCAUGGCACCGAACCAAAGUUGUGCUUGUAUGAUCUAUUAAAAAUAAAUAAUUGGAAGUGUAAGAAAAAAAUAUAUAUUAUGCAAGAAAAUAUAAACUAUUUUGAAAUGCAUGAAUAAAAUUGAUUAUGCAAGAAAAUAUAGACAAAUUGGAAAUGCAAAAAGAAAAAAAAAAGAUUAUGCAAGAAAAAGAAAUAUAAUAUGCAAUAAAAAAAAAGCUACAUGAAAUUGAUUUAAAUGGCAAUUAUAAAUAUUUUACCUUAUCGGAUAGAUUUUGACCGCUUCGAAUGUUCUCCCUUGCUUUUGUCAAGGCAUUUCUCCAUUUCCCUAACUCUUUAUUCAGAAUUUUCCAUCUACUAGACAAGGUCAUUUCGGUUCGAAUAGAACCCGAUCUUUGACAAAAUUCUCCCUGAAUUUUGCUCCACAUAUGAGGCAACUUCAUCUCAUUGCCCGAGACAGGGCAAUGACUAACGAUCACCCAAGACUGACACAACGCAAUAUGUUCAUGAGUUGUUCACGCACCUCCAGCUUCGACAGAAGAUGGCAUUUGUUUUUUGAUACAAAUGGAAAGUAGUAGAAAAAUGUGAGUGGAGAGUAAAAAAGAUUGGAAUGAGAAGAGUUUAGAUGAAGAAUUGGUGUGGAAAGUGAAUAAUGUGAGUGGAGAGUAAAAAAUAUUGGAAGGAGAAGAAAUUGUAUGAAGAUUUGGUGUGGAGAGUGAAUAAAAUUGUUAGGUAUUUUUAAGGAAAAAAAUCCAGAAUUUUUGGUUUUUUUUUAAAAAAAAAAUUCAGAAUUUUUUAGCCAAAAAAAGGAGGACCGUCGGAUUUCUAGAAAAAAACUGAUCGGAGAGUCUGGGUUGCGACACGUGGCGCAUGCCCGUUGGAUUCUGUUAGCUCUGACGUCACCUCCCUUGGGCUGAAGCCUAGGCGAAACCUGCCCUUGGGCUUGCCCGAGCCUCUUUUCUCGCGCUGGAGCAGUCUUGGGCUUGCUCGGGGGGCCUCCUGCCGGGUUUGCGUGCAGCACUGGAGCUGCUCUAAGUCAAGUCACCCAUUCAAACUCUACAUCGUCAAGUUUCCAUUACCUGGCCGCUAAUCAAUUAUCCAAUACAUCAAUUGGCUUCUUUGAUAUUUUUUUUGGUUGUGAAAGUUAGGAAGGGGGUGGAAAACUUAUACACAGGUAUUAUGGGGGCUUGAAUUUAGGAUCACUUGGAAGCAUAUCAAGAGCAUAGGCCAAUCCAGCUAACACCCCAUUGAUCUUCUUUAAGACUUUCAAGCAGUUAAAAUUGCACAUAACUUCCCGGAAAUAAAUAUGGUUUUAGAUUUUUUAAGCAAAUUUAGGGUGUAAUCUUCCUAAUAUAUGUCUUUGUCCACGAAUUUAAUGGGGCUCAGUUCUAUUAGAAAGAUCGUCCUAAAAAUGUAAUAAGCGUAGUAUUUUCCUUUAAGAUGUCAUCCUAAUAAUGAUUUCCAACUUUCCAUAAUGAAAUGAAUGCCACUCGUGAAUAUUCAAAUACUCGUUAUUGGCGAUUUUCACACCUCAUAACCCUAACAAAGCCUUCCAUUCCACUGACAGGUGACACAGGUCAUAUAUCAUUCAACAACCAUUACGUACCCAAUUAAUAUUUGACUUCUAAAUUCCUAAUACAUAUCUGGAUGGCUAUGAAUUAAUGGUCGUACCCUUUAGAAUUCAAAGGUUAAACUUGUGGUGUGGAAGAAAACACACAUCAAACACAGAACAAACGUUGUUCGAUCGACCAUGAUUCUUUGUCCUGGGGUGAAAGAUAUUCUACAAAGUUGCCUUCGAUGUAAAGCCUGGUUGAAAAGUAUCAGGCCCUAUGAACAUAUGGACGAGAUUUCGUUGCCAGAUGAUACUUUGAGCAGUUUGUAGAGCAGAGCUUAUUUAGGCCAUUGGGUGGGGACCUUGGUCGAAAACGUUUUCCACGUAUCGAUGGCUUUAGUUUAUGUUAUAACACAUGAAUAAUAAUGUUAAAUUUGUAUACCAAUCAAACUUUGCCGAGGGGUGUAUUUCAGUAAACAAAAGUGUAUUGAUUUGUAGACUAACGAUAUCAAAUUUGAACUCAUUUUUUCGGUAGUUUAAACUAUCAUUUGUAUUUUAUUGUAAGAAAUAAGUUUUAUUAAGAAUCACAAAAGAGAGAGCAAAACAAAAUUGAGGCCACCACAAGAAAACCAAAGGCCGAGCCAUGCUAAAAACCCACUACAUAGAUAAAGUUCACUACAAACAUAAAGCCCACCAAAAAAAAUUUCAUAACUUAUCAACUGUUUGUGCGGGUGUGGAUAAAAUAAGGGAUAGUCUGAAUUGGGUUCAUAUAUUUGUUUCUUGGAAAAAUUGUAGCAAUGGUCUCUUAAAUAAGACCCCAUUUUACUUUUCGUUUCUCAACCCUAAAAAUUAUUAUGAUUAUCCUUCAAUUAGAUCUAUUGUUGCAUCAGUCGUCCUUUUCAUCAGUUCUAAUUGUUUUUCCGUCAAAAAUAAAGGUAAAUUAGAAAAUUCAUAUCAACUUUUAUUAGAUAAAUAAACUCAUUUAUCUAUAUAUAUAAAGCAAAAUGCAGAGAGUGGUAAAAUAUUCAAAAUAUCAGAAAAUACCAUUGGUUAAUGCAAAUAUUAAGAAUUGAAAUUAUUAAUUAAAUGAGGAUAAUAUGGUAAAUUUCCAUCUUUUCAUAUUAAAAAAAUUAAAAGAAAAAGAAAAAUCACAUAAUAGAUCUUAUUUUUAUGGAAUACAUCUACCCAUUAUCUCUUUUAAUUCUAAAAUACAUUUAAACUUUUAAAAAAAAAAAAAAAAAAAAAAAAAGCCUUUCGUAGGUGCAGAAGAGCGUGCGAAAAGACUAGUAAACUUAAAUUCCGAGUGUAGGAUACGUACAAGAAGCCAUUUACAAGAUUAACGUUGUCCUAUCUUUAGCUCCUUACUUAAAAUUCAUAAUGUUACAUAUUGGGCACAAGUGAAUUUAUUAUAUAAAAGUGAACUAUAAUAUUUCCUGCCAACGUUUGAAGCUGCCAACUUCUUCAAAGACAUUAUUUAUAGAGGUGAAGAGGAAGGCGUGGGGAUAGCAAAGCCUCCAGCGGAUUUGCUUUGGGCAGGGCAAGCCCCAGCCCUUCACGCAUGUCCACUGCCUCCUCACCAACCCUACUCAUAUCAAAACCCUGAACCAAACGAGCCAGAAUUAAUUGGACCACUUGCAGCCCCAAAACCAUGCCAGGGCACGACCUCCUGCCUGAGCUGAACGGAAUAUACUCAAAAUUAUUUUGACCUUUGAAUUCCACGUCAGCAUGGGUGGUCAUGAACCUCUCGGGUUGGAAUUCACUUGGGUUGGCCCACAUGCGUGGGUCCCGCUGUAGUUUCCAAAUGUUGACUAGUACACGAGUGCCCUUGGACACGUGGUAGCCUGCCAGGUGGCAAUCCUCCGUGGCUUCACGCAGGCCUGUGAGUGGGCCAGGUGGGUAUACGCGUAGGGUUUCUUUGAGAAUGGCUUGGAGGUAUUUGAGGUUAGGGAGGUCUGAUUCUUGUACCCAUCUGUCUCUUCCUACGUGUAUGUCCAGUUCUUGUUGGGCAGCUUUUAGGGUUUUUGGGUUGUUCAGUAGUAGGGAGAGUGCCCAUGUCAGAGUGACGGAUGUGCUUUCUGUGCCAGUUAGGAUUAGAACC